ensembl:snRNA Gm25475 predicted gene, 25475
AUUGCUUCUUGGCCUUUUGGAUAAGAUCAAAUGUAGUAUCUGUUCUUAUCAGUCUCAUAUCUGAUAUGUCCUUUAUCCAAGGACAAUAUAUAUAUAUAUAUAUUUUUAAACAUUUAUUUAUUAUUAUAUGUAAGUACACUAUAGCUGUCUUCAGACACACCAGAAGAAGGUGUCAGAUCUC